rnacentral:rRNA from 1 species
CAUUGUCGAGACCCGAAACAGACCGAGCAAUCUUGAAAACCGGUGAACUGAAUGUACGGCGGCGGCGUGACCCGUCGCCGCCGGCGCCCAGGCCGCUGCGGUCGCCUCCUCGUCUGGGGCCCCGUCAUGCGGGCUGGGUGGAACAAAAAACCGGCGCGACUCUGCGCCAAGGGACAUGUACAAUGCGAGCAUCUCCGGCGCUUCCGGGGAGCCUCUCGCGGGCUCUGCGGRGCGCUGCUGUGUGCUUCUUAUGGAUUGUAGGACUCUCGGCAAUGGAUAUCUUGGCUCUUGCAUCGAUGAAGAACGCAACGAAAUGCGAUACGUGGUGCGAAUUGCAGAAUCCCGUGAACCAUCGAGUUUUUGAACGCAAGUUGCGCCUGAGGCCAUCUGGCCAAGGGCACGUCCGCCUGGGCGUCAUGCAUUACGUCGCUCCGUUCGCCAUCCACAACCACUCAGAUGUGACGGUGGCGGGCCGGAUGCGGAGAGUGUCCCGGCGUGCAUUUGGUUAUGCGGCGGGAUGAAGAACGUGUUGCUUUCCUCCUGGACAGGGUCGGUAAGGGGUGGAUGGAAGCCGCCGCUUGUCUGGCGCACAUUAUCGCUACCGCGCCGCUGCAUUGGGGAAGGAUCAGCUUGACAUCCUCGGAGCGCCCGGCUCAGACGCAGCCGGGGGCGCCUUCAAAUGCGACCCCAGGAUGGGCGGGAU